GCUCAGAUUGAACGCUGGCGGCAGGCCUAACACAUGCAAGUCGAACGGUAACAGGAAGCAGCUUGCUGCUUCGCUGACGAGUGGCGGACGGGUGAGUAAUGUCUGGGAAACUGCCUGAUGGAGGGGGAUAACUACUGGAAACGGUAGCUAAUACCGCAUAACGUCGCAAGACCAAAGAGGGGGACCUUCGGGCCUCUUGCCAUCAGAUGUGCCCAGAUGGGAUUAGCUAGUAGGUGGGGUAACGGCUCACCUAGGCGACGAUCCCUAGCUGGUCUGAGAGGAUGACCAGCCACACUGGAACUGAGACACGGUCCAGACUCCUACGGGAGGCAGCAGUGGGGAAUAUUGCACAAUGGGCGCAAGCCUGAUGCAGCCAUGCCGCGUGUAUGAAGAAGGCCUUCGGGUUGUAAAGUACUUUCAGCGGGGAGGAAGGCGAUGUGGUUAAUAACCGCGUCGAUUGACGUUACCCGCAGAAGAAGCACCGGCUAACUCCGUGCCAGCAGCCGCGGUAAUACGGAGGGUGCAAGCGUUAAUCGGAAUUACUGGGCGUAAAGCGCACGCAGGCGGUCUGUCAAGUCGGAUGUGAAAUCCCCGGGCUCAACCUGGGAACUGCAUCCGAAACUGGCAGGCUUGAGUCUCGUAGAGGGGGGUAGAAUUCCAGGUGUAGCGGUGAAAUGCGUAGAGAUCUGGAGGAAUACCGGUGGCGAAGGCGGCCCCCUGGACGAAGACUGACGCUCAGGUGCGAAAGC
rnacentral:rRNA from 1 species